AGAUGGCGACCGGCGCACGGGUGAGUAACACGUAUCCAACCUGCCGAUAACUCCGGAAUAGCCUUUCGAAAGAAAGAUUAAUACCGGAUAGCAUACGAAUAUCGCAUGAUACUUUUAUUAAAGAAUUUCGGUUAUCGAUGGGGAUGCGUUCCAUUAGUUUGUUGGCGGGGUAACGGCCCACCAAGACUACGAUGGAUAGGGGUUCUGAGAGGAAGGUCCCCCACAUUGGAACUGAGACACGGUCCAA
rnacentral:rRNA from 1 species